GGAAGCGUAUCGUCACCGGUGUGGCGCCUGGUCUUCAAAACCAGUGUGGGGGUGAGAGCUCCCAGGGUGGUUCGACUCCACUACGCUUCC
rnacentral:tRNA from 1 species